UAGGGAAUCUUCGGCAAUGGGGGGAACCCUGACCGAGCAACGCCGCGUGAGGGAAGAAGUUUUUCGGUUCGUAAAGCUCUGUUGUUAAGGAAGAAUGAGUGUGAGAAUGGAAAGUUCAUGCUGUUACGGUACUUAACCAGAAAGGGACGGCUAACUACGUGCCAGCAUCCGCGGUAAUACGUAGGUCCCGAGCGUUGUCCGGAUUUAUUGGGCGUAAAGCGAGCGCAGGCGGUUAGAAAAGUCUGAAGUGAAAGGCAGUGGCUCAACCAUUGUAGGCUUUGGAAACUGUUUAACUUGAGUGCAGAAGGGGAGAGUGGAAUUCCAUGUGUAGCGGUGAAAUGCGUAGAUAUAUGGAGGAACACCGGUGGCGAAAGCGGCUCUCUGGUCUGUAACUGACGCUGAGGCUCGAAAGCGUGGGGAGCGAACAGG
rnacentral:rRNA from 1 species